rnacentral:rRNA from 1 species
UACGUAGGGGGGCAAGCGUUGUCCGGAAUCAUUGGGCGUAAAGAGCGUGUAGGCGGCUCGGUAAGUCCGCUGUGAAAGUCCAGGGCUCAACCCUGGAAUGCCGGUGGAAACUGUCGAGCUAGAGUCCGGAAGAGGCGAGUGGAAUUCCUGGUGUAGCGGUGAAAUGCGCAGAUAUUAGGAGGAACACCAAUUGCGAAGGCAGCUCGCUGGGACGGUACUGACGCUGAGGAGCGAAAGCGUGGGGAGCGAACAGG